rnacentral:misc_RNA from 1 species
AAGUCGUAACAAGGUUUCCGUAGGUGAACCUGCGGAAGGAUCAUUACUGAGUGAGGGCCCCUCGGGGUCCAACCUCCCACCCGUGUCUCCUGUACCAUGUUGCUUCGGCGGGCCCGCCUCACGGCCGCCGGGGGGCCUCUGCCCCCGGGCCCGCGCCCGCCGAAGACCCCCUCUGAACGCUGUCUGAAGAUUGCAGUCUGAGCGAAAUAGCAAAAUUAAUUAAAACUUUCAACAACGGAUCUCUUGGUUCCG